GACAAGUGUGACAAUGUCGCUCACCCUCCGGCUCAAGCAGUUCCAGGUGGCCAAGUGCAAGGGGGAGAAACUUGCCAAAGUCGUCUUUAGAGGAGUGUCACACACAUCGAAAGGACUUGAGGAUAAAGUCGAACUCAUCCCUGUAGAUCAGAGGUUCGAGUGGCCCGUGGCACGAGCUAUAGAGAGUCAUGAGCAGCUGCAG